CUCAAAUUUGAAAUCUGGUCCCCCCGCGGGGCCCGAGUUGUAAUUUGAAGAGGAUGCUUCUGGCAAGGUGCCGUCCGAGUUCCCUGGAACGGGACGCCGCAGAGGGUGAGAGCCCCGUACGGUCGGACGCCGAGCCUCUGUGAAGCUCCUUCGACGAGUCGAGUAGUUUGGGAAUGCUGCUCAAAAUGGGAGGUAAACCCCUUCUAAAGCUAAAUACCGGCCAGAGACCGAUAGCGCACAAGUAGAGUGAUCGAAAGAUGAAAAGCACUUUGAAAAGAGAGUUAAAAAGCACGUGAAAUUGUUGAAAGGGAAGCGCUUGCGACCAGACUCGCGCCCGUCGGAUCAGCCGUCGCUCGUCGGCGGCGCACUCCGGCGGGCUCGGGCCAGCAUCAGUUCGCCUCGGGGGGAGAAAGGCGGCGGGAAUGUGGCUCCACGGAGUGUUAUAGCCCACCGCGUAAUACCCCCGGGCGGACUGAGGACCGCGCGUAUGCAAGGAUGCUGGCGUAAUGGUCGUCAGCGACCCGUCUUGAAACACGGACCAAGGAGUCGUCCUAAUAUGCGAGUGUACGGGUGUCAAACCCCUGCGCGUAAUGAAAGUGAACGGAGGUGAGAGCUUCGGCGCAUCAUCGACCGAUCCUGAUGUUCUCGGAUGGAUUUGAGUAAGAGCAUAUUGGGCCGGACCCGAAAGAAGGUGAACUAUGCCUGUGUAGGGUAAAGCCAGAGGAAACUCUGGUGGAGGCUCGCAGCGGUUCUGACGUGCAAAUCGAUCGUCAAACAUGGGCAUGGGGGCGAAAGACUAAUCGAACCUUCUAGUAGCUGGUUUCCGCCGAAGUUUCCCUCAGGAUAGCAGUGUUGAAUCUCUCAGUUUUAUGAGGUAAAGCGAAUGAUUAGGGACUCGGGGGCGCUUAUUAGCCUUCAUCCAUUCUCAAACUUUAAAUAUGUAAGAAGCCCUUGUUACUUA
rnacentral:rRNA from 1 species